rnacentral:rRNA from 1 species
GAGUUUGAUCCUGGCUCAGAUUGAACGCUGGCGGCAUGCCUUACACAUGCAAGUCGAACGGCAGCACGGGAGCUUGCUCCUGGUGGCGAGUGGCGAACGGGUGAGUAAUGCAUCGGAACGUAUCCUGGAGUGGGGGAUAACGCAGCGAAAGUUACGCUAAUACCGCAUAUUCUGUGAGCAGGAAAGCGGGGGACCUUCGGGCCUCGCGCUCUUGGAGCGGCCGAUGUCGGAUUAGCUAGUUGGUGAGGUAAAGGCUCACCAAGGCGACGAUCCGUAGCAGGUCUGAGAGGAUGAUCUGCCACACUGGAACUGAGACACGGUCCAGACUCCUACGGGAGGCAGCAGUGGGGAAUUUUGGACAAUGGGGGCAACCCUGAUCCAGCCAUGCCGCGUGAGUGAAGAAGGCCU